AUGCCCUGCGACGCGUCUGCCCAGCCGGAGGGCCCAGUGCGGGCCGGGGUGCUGGCUGGGGGGGCGGGCGCCUCCGGGACAGCCUCGGGUGCCCUCCUCCGUUCCUGCCCCUGCAGGGGGGUGAGGUCUCUGGAAGCUUCCUUGCAACCUCAGCAUUUCAGGAUUUGGCCCAGCCGUUUAGUAUUAUAUUUAAUUGUCAUCAUUAUUAGUAAUUCAGAGCCGGCACAUCUCACGUUGACAAGACACACGGUCACUCAGGAUCAGCGUGGUCUCCCAAAGACCCUGUGGGUGAGCUUCCGGGCUCAAGACGGCAGGUGGAGGGAGCCCCGCGGGGAAGGGACACGAAAGGGGGUCACUUCCAGGGGAGGCAGGUGGCUUGGCUGGGGCGCAGUUCCCCUCUCCCAGCCAAGGAGUGCCCCCCGGCCCAGGUCCCCGCACGUUUCCGGGGCAGCUCCAACCCCUGAGAAGCCCCCGGGCACAUGCCACAGGCGCCCCGACGGUGCUGUCUGCGUGCCGGGCUCCCCGGACGGCUGCAGGGAGCGUCUCGUCCUGAAGGCCAGGGGGGCCGAGUCUGCCCCUGAACUCCCAUGGGAGACAGAGAAUGCCAGGGAAUGUUCUGCCAAAAACCUUCUUUUGAGGGGACUAAUGUUUCCCCAUGAGCCCUCGACGUGCUGGGGACGUGCCCUGCCGGGGUCUGCGGGAAGCCGAGCCCUCUGCAGGAAGGGACGGUGCAGGUGCGCGGGGCCGAGGGAAGGAUGGGCCCGACGUGCGUGGGGGGGGCCCAAUGGCCUAAAGGCCCGUCCCCAAGGCGCCGCGCAGCCUGCAGCUGCGGCCGAGGACGUGCCGCUCACCGCGCACAGAUGCCAGAGGCCGAACGAGCAAGCUGCCCGUUUGCAGCCCAGGCGAGACAGGAAAAGCCAGGGGCGGACCUUCUGCCGCCGGAGGACCGAGGCCAGCGACUGGGGAGGGCAGGAAGCCGCGCCCGACGACGUGCCCAGUCUUACCAGCGGGCGGCUUCGGGGCAAGGGUCCUGGGAGCUCCCCCGAGCCCCACUUGUCCAGGGGAGGAGCCACCCCUGCCGCCAGCAUGGAGCCUCCACUCCCGGAGGUGGGGGAGACCUCCCCUCCCAGCACAGUGGCGGGCGGGGCCCCCACACCUCCCACAGCCCAGCGGUGGGUCUCGGGAGGCAAAGGAGCAUGA
rnacentral:lncRNA from 1 species